rnacentral:misc_RNA from 1 species
UUAAGUUCAGCGGGUAUCCCUACCUGAUCCGAGGUCAAGUCAUAAAAGAGCUUACUGGAUGCUGAUCCACCAAACUUCAAGAAACGCAAAUGUGCUGCGCGAGAAGCUGGCACGACCGCUGCCAAUGACUUUGGGGCGAGUCCACGCACGAAGCGGGACAGACGCCCAACACCAAGCAGAGCUUGAGGGUGUAAAUGACG